rnacentral:misc_RNA from 1 species
ACACUAUCUGUUGAUAUAGUGAUAUCAAUGUGGACCAAAUGCUUUUCCAUAUCAUAUGUAUAUUCUCGGUGUUUUGAAUUCCAAAAUUAAUACUUAACAUAUGAAAAGUUGAAAUGAAGAAAACCACGUAACGUGUGGGAUGGAUGUUUGAAAAAAAACCCAACAACAAUAGAGCCGUGUACGUGUAUGUUGGUGCCUAGAAGAGUAAUUUGUGACAAUGGUUUUGGUUUUAUGGAGAACUGUGUAAUUGACUAUGGAACCAGGCUUAAAAACGUCUUCGUCGACUCAUAAAACAGACUUUAAACUACAUGUACGAAAAGCAUGUCGGAAGGUUGUUUUUAGCUGUGAAAACAAGUCGUGGUUGUCUGUUGUUAUAUCUACAUAUACAUAUAGUUCGCGAUAUUCAAACAUUGCAUUGUCUCUUUGUUGUUUUCCCAUGCCAGUGUUUGUACAUUGCUCAUUUCUACAAAUUGUACAUGUUUACCAAAGCAUCUUUUAAGUUGUUUAGUUCUUCUUGAGGGCGUCACAUCUGGGGUUUUCAGUCGACUAAUCUGAGCAAAUUAAAUUUCUGUGAAACGGAAAUAAUUUUCAAAAAAAACCUUAAUCAUAUUUUAACAGGGUUUUUUUGUACAAUUACAAAAUGAAAUGAUAUCAAAUCCAAAAUUGUGUUACUAAUAUUGAGAAUUUAAGAAAAUAAACCAUACACAGCGGAACAACUGCAUCAUAAUACGAAGAUUGAUUUCCUCUAUACAUGUAUAUAUUUUACAGUUCUAAGCAUUCGGUAUUCUGAAAACGGGCAUUUUAUUGCCAGUAACAAAGAAUCGAGAGAAUGUCCAUUUGGAAGAUGUAUCUUAUUGAACCUUAGGAAAACCAUUCUUUGAAUGUUACUGUUAUUGUGUACCUCCCUUUAUACCUUAUAAUUUUUGUAUAUACAACUUUGCUGGUGUGAAUUCGUUUCUCACAAGGUCUUGUGACUUGCAACCAAAUUAAAUUUAAUGUUUCAAAUACGCUGAAUAUAUAUUGAAUAAGGUGAGUUUUUAUUUAUAUCCUGCGUUCAUGAUGACCAGAAAUAAAAAUUCAGAAAUUUUGUUGUUGAGACCAAACCCUUGUCAUUAGAAAGAUACAUGUAUUAUCGAUUAUAUUAUAUUAUAUUCCAAAGACAGACAAGACAUCUGCCUUCUUUAUUUCAAUUUGAUUAACUGACGUUCAUCAUACACUGAUGAGAAUUGUUGCUCAUAAAUAUAUUGGAUGAUUAUCUCUAUCAGCUUUGUUGUUAUUUUGUUGAUAAUAUAAUUAUGGAGACCAAUAUUUACUUAUUUUGACGUGAAACUAUUGAUGAGAGAAAUCUUUAUAAGAUUGAAGAAUUCAUCAUUUUAUUGACAAUAAAGUUUGUGUGCAUCAAUCU